rnacentral:rRNA from 1 species
CGACCUCGGAUCAGGCGAGACUACCCGCUAGAUUUAAGCAUAUCAGCAAGCGGAGGAAAGAAACUAACUAGGAUUCCCUCAGUAGCGGCGAGCGAACAGGGAGGAGCCCAGCACCGAACCCCGUCGGCGGGAGCCGUCGACCGGGGAAUGUGGUGUUCGGGAGGGUCCGAUCAUCCCGCUCGCGGUUCUCCGAGCGUCGGCUUUCGGGUCGGCGCCCGGGGGCCGUGCACGGUCCAAAUGCAGCGAGUGGGCCUAAAAAACCCCGUCCUGGAACGGCUUCCCCCGUUAUCGGAUUCCGUAGAGGGUGAAAGACCCGUGGAGGCCGGCACGGAGCGGCGGGAGGAUCUCUCCUAAGAGUCGGGUCGCUUGGUAGUGCAGCCCUAAGAGGUGGUAAACUCCAUCUAAGGCCUAAACAUCGCCGCGAGACCGAUAGAGGACAAGUACCGUUCGGGAAAGUUGAAAAGGACUCUGCAGAGAGAGUUAAAGAGUACGUGAAACCGUUCGGGGGUUCGGCACAGAACAAACGGUCGGGGCUCGGGCGAGACCCUCCGGGCAGGAGGAUCCGUCAGCCGUCCCGAGGCCCGCGGGGUCGUCUGCGCGCUUGCUUGCGUUACAGCUUGCGAGGGGUUGCCCUGGGCCUAACCAUGAGCGUUGACGAUGCGGCCCGCGGAGCGCGGGGCGGGCGGCCAUGAACGGAGCCCUCGCGGCCACCUCGAUCCCCGCCCGCGGAGGCACCCGCGACUCGCGGUGCGGCGGUCCGCCCGUGGAGGCCCCCCUCGGGGGUCACCUCCGCGGGAGCCGGUCUUCGCCAGGCACCGCGGUCGAGAAUCGGCCGGGCGGCGCCUUCGGGCGCUCGUGCCCGGUCGGCGGGAGAUCUACCGGGACCCCUACCGACCCGUCUUGAAACACGGACCAAGGAGUCUAGCGUGCGCGCGAGUCAUCGGGAACACGUACUAAACCCCGAGGCGCAAUGAAAGUGAGCGCUCAGCGCAAGGGACGAAACAACGGGGCCGGGGGAAACGGGGGGCAACUCCGCGCGUACCCCGGCGGUGUCCGUCCUAGCUGCGGCCCGUUGCAGCAAUCCCGGGGCGCCGAGCAGAUACCCGCCACCCAGGGCGGCGAGCGAGGCGCUCUCGUCGAAGCGUGCACGGUAGGACCCGAAAGAUGGUGAACUAUGCCCGGCCAGGACGAAACCAGGGGAAACCCUGGCGGAGGUCCGCAGCGGUUCUGACGUGCAAAUCGAUCGUCCGAGCUGGGUAUAGGGGCGAAAGACCAAUCGAACCAUCUAGUAGCUGGUUCCCUCCGAAAUUUCCCUCAGGAUAGCUGGCGCUCGAUCAGCGCGGACCGUACGACGAGUUCCGCGCCGGCUCGCAAUCCCAUCCCCGGUAGAGCGAAUGAUUAGAGGCUUCUCGGGGCCGCAACGGUCUCGACCUAUUCUCAAACUCCGAACGGGUGAGACCGGGGGCUUUCCCGGCGGACGAAGCCCGGCGGCCGUCCCCUCGGGGUCGGCCGCGCGACACCGACGGAUGAGAGCUGAGCCCAGUGGGUCCGUUCUGGUAAGCAGGACUGACGAUGCGGGGGUGAACCGAACGCCGGGUUAAGGCGCCUAAAUCGCUACCGAAAUUACAGACACCCGUUCAAUGGUCGGACGCCGGCGUGCGACAGCAGGACGGUGGCCAUGGAAGUUGGCAUCCGCUAAGGAGUGUGUAACGACUCACCUGCCGAUGCCGGUGGUUCCGAAAAUGUCUGGCGCUAGGAGUAGCGUGCCGAUACCCGGCCGUCAGCGGGUAGAGCACGGGCGACGUCGCCGCGCGAGCCGCUCCCCGGCGCCCGGUCAAACGGGCCGAGGAGCGCGCCAGCGGCGGGAACGCGCCUCGGGUAGACCCUGACGAGUAGGAGGGCGCGGCGGUGAGCGCAGAAGGGUUCAGGGCGCGAGCCCGCCCGGAGCCGCCGUCGGCGCAGAUCUUGGUGGUAGUAGCAAAUACUCUGGAGAGGUCCUGGAGGACUGACGCGGAGAAGGGUUUCUUGUCAACAGCCGUUGCACAAGUGUUAGUCGAUCCUAAGCCACGGGCGAAGGCCCUACAACGCGGACCCCACGAUGAUCCCCGCUUCGCGGAGGAGAGGCGGUCGCGACCCGGAGCUACGGCCCCUCGGCGCCGCUCGGGAGCCCUCCGGGGUUCCCGAGGCGCGGGGGCAAGCAUCGGGCGAGGCCCGUCGGCGGUUCCCCGGCCCUUCACCGAGGUCGCCUCCGACUCAGACGCUCCCCGCCCGCGCCCCUUCGGCGCGGCUCCGACCCGCCUCGCGCGGAGCCCGUACCCCAAACCCGGCGCCGCAAACUACCCGAGCGGCCGUUUUCACCCGUAACAUGUGCGGCUCCCUCGGAGCUCGCACGGGGCGGCCCCGGAGCGGACGCGCUAGCUCUCGAGCGAGCACUUAGCCGGGGCGGACUCCGCCGACCGGGACCCGGACCGCGCUGGGCGCGGGGACUCAACGGGAGAGC